UAGACAUUUAAACCUAACAAUUUCAACAUCAAAACACAUAAUAAAUUAACCUAAUACUAAAAUUACAAGUUACAACAAGUACUUUGGAUCACACAUUUAAAUCCUUCACAAGUAUUUAUCUAGUUCAACAUAAAACACACAAUUACACAAUCAAAGGUUUAUAAGACAUAACCAAAACACAAAAGAAAACAACAAAGCAACAAUUAAAUUUCUAAUAAACUCUAAAACUCAAAUCCUCCAAUAUCUUCAUCUUCCAUGGCAUCAACAUCAUCAUCUUCACCAUCUUCAUCAGAAACAUCAUUUCUUUCAGCCUCAGGUUCAACACGGCCAACAAAAUCUUCAUCAUCAUUCACAUGUUCAUCUUCUUCCUCUAUUAAAUUUUGUUGUGGAUCCCCAAUAAACUCAUUCUCACCUCCCUCACCCAUGUUGAAUUCAUUACUAUUCAUACCUGGAAUAGCAAAUUCAUUACUAUUUGGAUCAUCAUUAGUAUUGUCAUUCAUUGGCAAGUGAGAAUGCUCAACACUUUCAGCAAUAUUUU